AGUGAACGCUGGCGGUAGGCCUAACACAUGCAAGUCGAACGGCAGCACAGUAAGAGCUUGCUCUUACGGGUGGCGAGUGGCGGACGGGUGAGGAAUACAUUGGAAUCUACUUUUUCGUGGGGGAUAACGUAGGGAAACUUACGCUAAUACCGCAUACGACCUACGGGUGAAAGCAGGGGAUCUUCGGACCUUGCGCGAUUGAAUGAGCCGAUGUCGGAUUAGCUAGUUGGCGGGGUAAAGGCCCACCAAGGCGACGAUCCGUAGCUGGUCUGAGAGGAUGAUCAGCCACACUGGAACUGAGACACGGUCCAGACUCCUACGGGAGGCAGCAGUGGGGAAUAUUGGACAAUGGGCGCAAGCCUGAUCCAGCCAUACCGCGUGGGUGAAGAAGGCCUUCGGGUUGUAAAGCCCUUUUGUUGGGAAAGAAAAGCAGCAGGUUAAUACCCCGCUGUUCUGACGGUACCCAAAGUAUAAGCACCGGCUAACUUCGUG
rnacentral:rRNA from 1 species